rnacentral:rRNA from 1 species
CCAAUAGCGUAUAUUAAAGUUGUUGCAGUUAAAAAGCUCGUAGUUGAAUUUUAGGCCUGGCCGGACGGUCCGUCUUUGGCGAGUACUGUUCUGUUGUCGGGUCUUCCUUCUGGUGAACCAAUAUGUCCUUAAUUGGGUGUGUUGGGGAGCCAGGACCAUUACCUUGAAAAAAUUAGAGUGUUUAAGGCGGGCUAUUGCUUGAAUAGAUUAGCAUGGAAUAAUGGAAUAGGACGUUGUGGUUCUAUUUUGUUGGUUUCUAGGACCACCGUAAUGAUUAAUAGGGAUAGUUGGGGGCAUUAGUAUUCAAUUGUCAGAGGUGAAAUUCUUGGAUUUAUUGAAGACUAACUAUUGCGAAAGCAUUUGCCAAGGAUGUUUUCAUUAAUCAAGAACGAAAGUUAGGGGAUCGAAGACGAUCAGAUACCGUCGUAGUCUUAACCAUAAACUAUGCCGACUAGGAAUCGGGCGACGUUAUUUUCACGACUCGCUCGGCGCCUUAUG